rnacentral:rRNA from 1 species
CAGUAGCCGCGGUAAUACGAAGGGUGCAAGCGUUAAUCGGAAUUACUGGGCGUAAAGCGUGCGUAGGCGGUUUAUUAAGUCUGUUGUGAAAUCCCCGGGCUCAACCUGGGAAUGGCAAUGGAUACUGGCAAGCUAGAGUGUGUCAGAGGAUGGUGGAAUUCCCGGUGUAGCGGUGAAAUGCGUAGAGAUCGGGAGGAACAUCAGUGGCGAAGGCGGCCAUCUGGGACAACACUGACGCUGAGGCACGAAAGCGUGGGGAGCAAACAGGAUUAGAUACCCCUGUAGUCCCUGUCUCUUAUAC